AUGGCGAGUGACGAUGAAGUGGAUGUCAGGGACUGCGUCUACAGAUCUGGGAUCGGGGUGGUUGCAAGUAGUUACUCUAGGGUAACCUCAUGGCUUGAUCCUUACGUAGCCUCUCCAGAACAAGCAAACCCUCUCUUAAACCCCUCCGCCCCCACUCUCUUCAUCCCUUCUCACCCUGUCUCUUCCUCUCUCGCCUUCGCCGCUAUGGCCUCAGCUCAAACCUUAGAGGUUGCGACGGAGUCGGUGACGGCAGUCACGUUCAGCUUCUUCACCGACGAAGAGGCGCGGAAGCAGAGCGUUGUGAAGAUUACAAAACCGGAUUUGGUUGACGAAUUAGGGACGCCGGUGCCAGGUGGGCUUUACGACCCUGCGAUGGGCCCUCUCGACGACAGAAGCGACACGCUUUGCAAGACAUGUGGUCAGAGGUCGGUCAAUUGCCGGGGUCAUUUUGGUCACAUUGACGUUGUUUUGCCCGUCUAUAAUCCCUUGCUGUUCAACGUUCUUUACAAACUUCUACAAAGAACCUGUCUCGGAUGUUUCCAUUUUCGAACAAGCAAAGAGCUGGUUGAAAAAUGUGUAUCCAAAUUGGAACUGGUGAUGAAAGGUGAUGUUGUUGGUGCAAAAAGAUUAGACUCUGACACGCCUAAUGAAUACUCAUAUCUUGACGAGGACGGGGAAGGAAAUAAUAUUGACAGAGACAAGCAUUCAAAGCCGGAAAGAUGGACUUCUCUUCAGUUCACAGAAGCAAUGUCUAUUUUGGAAGAUUCUUUGGAGACACAACAAAAGUGCAAGAACUGCAAAUUUAAGAAUCCUAAAAUCACUAAACCGACUUUUGGUUGGUUACAGAUGACUGGUGCGGGCAAUGCUAGAGAAAAUGUUAUCAGAGGAUGCAAGCUGGUAGGACCUUUAAGUGUUCAAGACGAGGGUGAAUCUUGUGGUGAUGAUGUUGAUGCAGGCAUAUCUGAUAUAUCUUGUGCAUCCUCUCUUGUGACUCAAGAUACUGCAACGAAGAGUAAAGGACAUGAGAGCAAAGAACUCAGUGAGUUCUCUAAGCUGAAAAUAGCUUUAUCCGGAGAUCUAAAACCAACCGAGGUUAAAGGAAUAAUGAGGCUUUUGUGGACAAAUGAGGUUCCACUGUGCUCUUUUCUUAGUGACAUCCAAUGCCAAGGGGUUGAAAGAAAGGGAGGUUACUCUAUGUUUUUCUUAGAGACUGUUCUUGUACCACCAAUCAAAUUUCGUCCUGCAGCCCAUAGUGGUGAUUCUGUGAUGGAGCAUCCUCAAACUGUUUCAUUGAGUAAGGUGGUUCAGACAAAUACUUACUUGAAAGACGCUCUUAGUCAGAACAAACAAUCACAGACAAUUCGGCGUUGGAGGGAACUUCAAGAUUGUAUAAAUCUAAUGUUCGAUAGCAAAACUGUUUCGGGUCAAGGUAAAACAGAUGCUUCUGGAAUAUGUCAGUUGCUGGAGAAGAAGGAAGGCGUGUUCCGCCAGAAAAUGAUGGGAAAGAGGGUUAAUCAUGCAUGCCGGUCGGUUAUAUCCCCUGACCCCUAUUUAGCUGUUAAUGAGAUUGGAAUUCCUCCAGUCUUUGCAUUGACAUUAACAUAUCCUGAGAGAGUUACUCCCUGGAAUGUUUUCAAGUUAAGGAAUGCUAUUGUCAAUGGUUCUGAAAUCCAUCCUGGAGCUACACACUAUAUUGAUAAAAAAUCUAUCAAGUUGCCACAAAAGCGGAGAGAGCGCAUUUUAUUGUCAAGAAAGUUACCUUCUUCAAAAGGGGCAGGGACACAACAUGGGAAGGGAUCUGACUAUGAAAACAAAAUGGUACUCCGUCACUUGCAAGAUGGAGACAUUGUUCUUGUUAAUCGCCAGCCUACACUUCACAAACCCAGUAUAAUGGCUCACAUAGUUCGUGUAUUGAAGGGGGAGAAAACAUUACGCAUGCACUAUGCAAAUUGCAGUACAUACAAUGCUGAUUUUGAUGGUGAUGAAAUGAAUGUUCAUUUGCCACAAGAUGAAAUUUCUCGCGCUGAAGCUUACAAUUUGGUGAACGCAAAUAAUCAAUACGUAAAGCCCACUAGUGGUGAUCCCAUUCGAGCCUUAAUUCAGGACCAUGUUAUAAGUGCUGUCCUCCUUACAAAAAAGGACACCUUUCUCCGCUCGGAUGAAUUUAAUCAGCUUCUUUAUAGUUCAUCUGUUUCAGCAUGUGGUUCAGACACUUUCUCUGGCAAGCCAGGUCAAAAGGUUUUAACAUCCAACUCUGAAGAUGAAAUGCAGCCCCUUCUUCCUGCAAUUUGGAAACCAGUGCGUCUGUGGACGGGAAAGCAGGUCAUCACUACCUUGCUAAAUCAUAUUACAAGUGGUUCUCCACCACUUACUGUUGAAAAGGAAGCAAAACUCCCAUGUGGGUUUUUCAACUGCAAGACUCUUGAAGAAGAAGAGGAAUUUGAUAAAGCUCAACGAGCAAAAGAAAAGAAGUCAAGAAAAGUAGCUUUUAAAGAUGAUUCAAAAGGAAAGGAGGAGCCAGAUGAGAGCAAGUUGUUAAUCUAUCGAAAUAACUUGGUGCGUGGUGUGAUCGACAAAAACCAGUUUGGUGACUAUGGUUUGGUCCAUAAUGUGCAGGAACUCUAUGGUUCGGAAGCUGCAGGAAAAUUGCUUUCUGUUUUUAGUCGUUUAUAUACUGUUUAUUUACAGAUGCAUGGGUUCACUUGUGGGGUUGACGAUCUUUUGCUAAUACAAAGCAAAGACAAAAAAAUGAAGGAACAACUCGAAAGUUGUGAAGAGCUUGGUGAAAUAGUUUUCCGUGAGUUUAUUGGGGUCAGACAAAAUGAAAGAAAAGGUAUUGAUCCAGUGAUAUUGCAAUCGGAUAUUGAAGAAUUUUUACGCAAUAAUGGAGAAUCUGUGUCGGAAAUGUUGGACAGGAAAAUGACGAGUGAACUUAAUAAAAAAAUCUCCAAAUCUGAUGUCUUCAAACAAUUGUUUCAGAAAGGGUUAUCAAAACCAUCUGUUAAGAAUUAUAUGUAUCUUAUGACAAGCUCUGGGGCUAAAGGUGGUGUGGCAAAUCUCCAACAAAUUGCUUCAUACUUGGGUCAGCAAGAGCUAGAAGGUAAACGAGUCCCCCAAAUGGUUUCUGGAAAGACCUUACCAUGCUUCCCUCCAUGGGAUUGGUCACCUCGAGCUGGAGGUUUUAUUAUUGAUCGCUUUCUUACCGGUCUUCAUCCUCAGGAGUAUUAUUUUCACUGCAUGGCUGGCCGUGAAGGGCUGGUUGAUACAGCUGUCAAAACUUCUCGAAGUGGAUACUUGCAAAGAUGCCUAAUAAAAAAUCUCGAAUGCCUUAAGAUUUCUUAUGAUCAUACUGUCCGUGAUGCUGAUGGUUCAAUUAUUCAAUUCCAUUAUGGGGAGGAUGGUAUUGAUGUCCAUUUGACAAGCUUUAUUAAGAAGUUUGAAAAACUGGCAAAUAAUAAAGAAAUGUUUGACAAGAGAUUUGGUCGUCAAAUUGAUAAACUCAAUCCCUAUAUUGAUGAGUUGCCUCCCGCUCUCAAAAGAAAAGCAGAGAUGUCAGUUCCUAAUUUGUCUUUGAAGGAGAAAAAUGCCACCUUGAAGUUAAUGGAGCACAAAUAUCUCAGCAGUCUUGCGCAACCUGGUGAACCAGUUGGUAUUCUUGCUGCUCAGUCCGUAGGAGAACCAUCAACACAAAUGACUCUGAAUACCUUCCAUAAUGCUGGACGAAGUGAAAUGAAUGUGACUCUCGGAAUUCCACGGCUCCAAGAGAUCUUGAUGACUGCUUCAAAUGAUAUCAAGACUCCAGUCAUGACAUGUCCGUUGAUAAACGAGAAAACGUGAGUGGACUAUGCUAAAAGUUUAGCUGAUAGAUUGAAGAGGAUCACUGUGGCAGACAUAAUAGAGAGCAUGAAAGUAAACAUUACACCAUUUACACAUAAGGACCGUCAAACUUGCCGUAUUUAUGAGCUUGAGAUGACACUUUUUGUACCAGAACAUCUUUCAAAAUUUUCAGAAGAUUGGGAGGAACUCCUAGUGGUUAAAUUUGUCAGGGCUUUGGAGGAUGCCAUACAGAAUCAUCUGGUUUUGCUCUCUAAAAUUAGUGGUAUAAAAGAUAUAAAGGCUGAUUCACUGCCGAAGGUAUCAAUGGAGGCAGAUGAAGAUGUCUCUUGUAAAAUUUCGCAGCAUGGGGGAGAAGAUGAUGAUGAUGGCGAUAUAGAUGACAGUGGUGAAGGUGCUGAGGAUUUUGGGUUGGAUGCACAAAAACGAAAGCGGCAGGGUACAGAUGAGAUGGAGUAUGAAGGUGACUGUGAGGAUGAAGUGAGUGAAGGUCAUCAUUCUGAUAGAUUUGAAAGCGAAAUUGAUAAGGGGGAAAGUGAUGUGGAAAUCGAUAAGGAUGGUGUGAUGGGGAUCUCAGAUGCAAAUGAUGAAAUGCAUGAAAGUCCCUCAACUGGAGAUACAUCUAAGCCACAAUCGAAGGGAAAAAAGACCAAAUCAAGGGAGAAAAUAAAAAAGAAGACCCGAGCAAAGCUAGUAAGAAAGGAGUAUGACAGGGCAACUUUUGUGUCAGCCAAGGGGUUUCACUUUGAGAUCCAUUUUAAAUUUACCAAUGAACCUCAUAUUCUUUUGGAUCAGAUUGCUCGGAAGACAGCCCGAAAUGUAUAUGUCAAAAGCUCUGGCAAUAUUUUGGAUUGUAAAGAUAUUGAUAUUUAUGGUAAUGAAGAUCAAGUUUUCUGCUCCUGGAAUGAUCCCAGAAAUAAAUUACCGGGUGAAAAGAAUCCCACAAAAGAAGAAAAGAAGAUGCGAGCCGUGCAGACAGCAGGCGUGGAUUUUGCUACACUAUGGAAACUGCAAGAUGAUCUUGAUGUCAACUAUAUAUAUUCCAACAACAUUCAUGCUAUGCUUAACACUUAUGGAGUGGAAGCCGCCAGAGAAACUAUCAUCAAAGAAAUAAGCAACGUUUUCAAGGUUUAUGGGAUAUCUGUCAAUAUCAGACACCUUUCACUCAUAGCUGAUUACAUGACUCAUAGUGGUGGGUAUCGUCCAAUGAACAGAUUUGGAGGUAUAGCAGAGUCUACAUCGCCAAUCAAUAAAAUGUCAUUUGAGACGGCUUCCAAGUUCAUUCGAGAAGCAGCAUAUCAUGGGGAGACUGAUGACCUGGAAACCCCAUCUGCUAGGAUCUGUCUUGGGCUGCCUGUGAAAGUUGGUACGGGUUCUUUUGAUUUGAUGCAAAAGAUGGAAAUUUAGAUGUAGUUUUUUUUGACAAGAAAUUUAGAUGUAGUUUUGUAUGCAAAUGAUGGAGAUUUGAGAGGUAGUUUAAUGUAUGCAAAAGACGGGCCAACGCUCUUGUUUGUAUUUGCUAAUUCAUUUGUCAAUACCAGUUAAAAUUUAUGUG